CUGUGUGCGUGUGCGUGCGUGUGUGUGUGUGUGUGUGUGUGUGUUUCUCGCCGCUACAGCCACCUGACCAUCCUGUCACACACACU
rnacentral:miRNA from 1 species